rnacentral:lncRNA from 1 species
CUACCCCUUCAUUUCUUCUUCCCUAUUUCCUAUACUUCAUCAAUACUCUUCAAUUUCAAUCCCUUUUCAUUUCUUCUUCUUCUUCUCUACUCUCUAUACCUCUUCAAUUCCACUUUCUGUAUACAUCUUCAAUCCUGUACUUAAGGUAGCCAUAUUUACUUUGUUGCUACUGUCCAAAACAUGAAAGUCAUCUUUCCAAAAGUGUUACAUUUUAACCAUGUUCAUUGAGCUUUUGUGGUUGAAAAAUAGUUGGAGAUCCCUACCCAUGAUAAAUUUCAUGAUUCACAACUUUCUUUUGUAGUUAAAGUUUAGUUUUUAUAUUAUUAUUUGUUCCAAAGGUCAUUUUUUCUUCUUCUGGAUGUCAUUUUUUGCUGACUUUCGUCAUUUACUUGCUUUGUU